GAUGAACGCUGGCGGCGUGCCUAAUACAUGCAAGUAGAGCGAACGGACGAGAAGCUUGCUUCUCUGAUGUUAGCGGCGGACGGGUGAGUAACACGUGGAUAACCUACCUAUAAGACUGGGAUAACUUCGGGAAACCGGAGCUAAUACCGGAUAAUAUUAUGAACCGCAUGGUUCAAAAGUGAAAGACGGUCUUGCUGUCACUUAUAGAUGGAUCCGCGCUGCAUUAGCUAGUUGGUAAGGUAACGGCUUACCAAGGCAACGAUGCAUAGCCGACCUGAGAGGGUGAUCGGCCACACUGGAACUGAGACACGGUCCAGACUCCUACGGGAGGCAGCAGUAGGGAAUCUUCCGCAAUGGGCGAAAGCCUGACGGAGCAACGCCGCGUGAGUGAUGAAGGUCUUCGGAUCGUAAAACUCUGUUAUUAGGGAAGAACAUAUGUGUAAGUAACUGUGCACAUCUUGACGGUACCUAAUCAGAAAGCCACGGCUAACUACGUG
rnacentral:rRNA from 1 species